rnacentral:rRNA from 1 species
AUGGACCGCGUGCAGCUCGUGCUCCUGGGCCUCCCCAUCCUCCUCUUCUGCUCCGACGUCGUCACGCUCUUCGCGCCGCAGCCGCCGGCGGCCCCCAAGCCCCACCGCCAUCCCCAGGCGGCCUCCGGCGCCUUCCAGCCUGGCGACUCCUCCCCCGACGCCGCCGAUUCCGCGCAGUUGACGGAGGCGCAGGUGGAUGGACCAGGCUCCGGCACCACCGUCGAGCUGAAGUUCUGCGCAUCCUGCUCCUACAAGGGAAAUGCGAUGACCAUGAAGCGCAUGCUGGAUACCUCAUUUCCUGGGAUUCAUGUCGUCUUGGAAAACUACCCUCCACCCUUCCCAAAACGCGCCCUCGGCAAAAUGGUGCCUUUUGUUCAAGUUGGAGCGAUAGCAACAUUAAUGGCUGGUGAUCAGAUUUUCCCUAGAUUUGGAAUGGUACCACCUCCGUGGUACUAUUCACUGCGUGCUAAUAGGUUUGGAACCAUGGCAUCAGUGUGGAUGUUUGGCAAUUUUGCUCAGUCUCUUCUACAAAGUUCUGGCGCCUUUGAAGUUUACUGCAAUGGACAACUGGUCUUCUCAAAAUUAUCUGAGCAGAGGUUUCCUAGUGAGUUCGAGCUACGGGAGCUCAUUGGCAACAGAUUGUCAGAUUCUCAAAUUGGGAAAAAUCUGGAAAAAGAUCUUGUAUUAGACGAUGAUGUCGAGAGCACCCACGACCAUUUAUCUGUAUCCACAUAG